GCAAGUCGGACGAGGUGCUUUUGUAGCAAUACGAGAGUAUCCUAGUGGCGAACGGGUGAGUAACGCGUUGGUGACCUACCCCAAAGUGUGGGAUAACAGUCCGAAAGGAUUGCUAAUACCGCAUGUGGUUAUUGGAUCUAGAAACUGAUAACUAAAGGAGCAAUUCGCUUUGGGAGGGACCUGCGUCCCAUCAGCUAGUUGGUGAGGUAACGGCUCACCAAGGCUACGACGGGUAGGGGACCUGAGAGGGUGGCCCCCCACAAUGGAACUGAAACACGGUCCAUACACCUACGGGUGGCAGCAGUAGGGAAUAUUGCACAAUGGGCGAAAGCCUGAUGCAGCAACGCCGCGUGUGCGAUGAAGGCCUUCGGGUCGUAAAGCACUUUUCUGAGAGAUGAGAAAGGACAGUAUCUCAGGAAUAAGUCUCGGCUAACUACGUGCCAGCAGCCGCGGUAACACGUAGGAGGCGAGCGUUAUCCGGAUUCACUGGGCGUAAAGCGCGUGCAGGCGGUUUGGUAAGUUGAUCGUGAAAGCUCCCGGCUCAACUGGGAGAGGUCGUUCAAUACUACCAAACUAGAGAGUAGAAGAGGAAAAUGGAAUUCCCGGUGUAGUGGUGAAAUGCGUAGAUAUCGGGAGGAACACCAGUGGCGAAGGCGAUUUUCUGGUCUAUUUCUGACGCUCAGACGCGACAGCUAGGGUAGUAAACGGGAUUAGAGACCCCGGUAAUCCUAGCCGUAAACGAUGUGAACUUGGCGUCGGUGGCUUAAACACCAUCGGUGCCGAAGCAAACGCGAUAAGUUCACCGCC
rnacentral:rRNA from 1 species